GGACUACCAGGGUAUCUAAUCCUGUUCGCUCCCCUGGCUUUCGCGCCUCAGCGUCAGGUACCCCCCAGGACACUGCCUUCGCCUUCGGUCUUCCUCCGGAUCUCUACGCAUUUCACCACUCCACCCGGAAUUCGAUGUCCCUCUGGGGUCCUCAAGUCCUCCAGUUUUCGCACUACCUUGCCCAGUUAAGCUCGGCACUGUCAUCGCGAACUUGGCGAACCGCCUGCACGCCCUUUACGCCCAGUAACUCCGGACAACGCUCGCCCCCUACGUCUUACCGCGGCUGCUGGCAC
rnacentral:rRNA from 1 species